rnacentral:lncRNA from 1 species
UUUAGUAUUAUUCAGCUUAAAGAAAUGGUAUCGUGGAGAACCGAGUUCGGGUUUCAAGUAUCCGGAUUUGGGGUCACCACAUUAUGCGUAACACACCGACAGGAUGUUCCAACAGAAUAAUAAAGAAUAGAACAACAGAAGAAUUUUACCAUGUAUGCGGUACUUCUCAUAGACAGGUUAUUCCAACAUAAUAACAAAGAAUGGAAUAACAGAAGUUCUCUUCGUGAAGUCGAAAGAAAGAAAUAAUACCUCUUACCGUAAAAGAAGAGUAUUCCGACUAGUAAGGCGAUGAUAUUCUUGAAGAAAACUUGCACUACGCUCAAAGCUUCUUAAAACUCUAAAGAAACACGCUCAAGAUUAUAAAAGAAUUCUCUGAACUUCUGGUGUGGUUUUCAAUUCUAACUAAGCAUCCUAUUUAUAGGAAAAUAGAAAGGAUACUAUACUGCACUAUGCAAUAAAAUAUAAUAUAUUCUAUUUAUAAUCAAAUAAAACAAAACUUUAUAAAAAGUAUUCUGUUUUAUAUAAAAAGAUUUUACUAUGCAAACACUAUGCAGGC